CUUAAAAUUAUUAAUGUUUUUUUUCCAGGAUUUUAAGAUGUUCAGAUGUGCAAGUCCAUAUAACCUAUUUAGCAUGCUAAUGGUUGAAUAGGCUCUACAAGCAACAUUUGAAGCCAAUGGUAACAUCAUGUACUGCAUGAUUGUCACACUGCAGUGAAUAUUCAGCCUGUUGACAACCUUGUACCUAAGUCAUGCUGGUAACAAAUUGGUCCGAAAACUAGAGCUUCCAAGAAAACAACAAAUGGUAUCAUAAUAGAAUCAUAGAAUCCCGGGGAUAUGAUUUUUAUUGUCCGUGACCUCAUGCUCCAGACUGAUUUUAACAGACUUGUCGGAAAAUAUAGAAAUCUGGAACUGAUAAAGGAAUCUGAAGGAAUGCUGCUUUAAAAGAAAAACUAUUGGAAUUGCAAAAUUGAAAGUGAUUGUGAAAGAUUGAUUUUGAAGCCUGACAUUACAUGUUCUCUUCUGUUACCACAAGUCAUAAAAUAAAAAUCCUUAAGAAUGGACUUUGAACCUGGAGAAUUAUUAACAAUUGGACCUGUGGCAAUGAACAAUGUGGCAACAUAAUUGCCAGCUGCAUGGGUUCAAACAUGAUAUUAGGGUUAAGCCGUUGUCUUCUUUAGUAUAACACUGUACAUGCUAAUGGAGACAAUGGCUUGCCCAUGAUGGUGUUUGAACUCUUAAGCUACUGAUUCUUAGUUAGAUUAUUUACUAGUCUGACUAUUUACUAGUGUGACAUGUUUGUACUUGUUGGCUCCAUGAACAGAAUUUAGAGUGUGUCUAUAACCUUAUACUCAGCUUUGAUUGUGCACAAUGAAAGUAAAAUAAUUCUGUAUAUUACACUAAAAUCUGGAAAAUUGGCAGCAAGCUACUAGUACAACCAUGUGUAGUAAAAUUUGCAUAAUGAAAUAAGUUCUAUUAUCUUUUAGUAUAUCAAUUUCAAUUCUGCUCCCAGGACAUAUUACUGGUGUAACGAGGAUAAAUGGUCAACAUUGUUGCUCAAACCCACACUGUCUGAGUUGGA